rnacentral:rRNA from 1 species
AAUGAACGCUGGCGGCGUGGAUUAGGCAUGCAAGUCGAACGCGAAAGUUCCCUUCGGGGGGCGAGUAGAGUGGCGAAAGGGUGAGUAAUGCUUGGAUGACCUGCCCUCGAGACGGGACAACAGUUCGAAAGGACUGCUAAUACCCGAUAGUCCGGUUUAGAUGCGUCUAGAUCGGUAAAUGGUGCUUCCGCUCGAGGAGGGGUUCAAGUCCUAUCAGCUUGUUGGUGAGGUAACGGCUCACCAAGGCGAUGACGGGUAGCUGGACUGAGAGGUUGGCCGGCCACAUGGGAACUGAGACACUGUCCUGACUCCUACGGGAGGCUGCAGUCGAGAAUCUUCUGCAAUGGGCGAAAGCCUGACAGAGCGACGCCGCGUGGAGGAUGAAGGUUUUCGGAUUGUAAACCCCUUUCAUGAGGAAAGAUAAAGUGGGUAACCACUUAGACGGUACCUCAAGAAGAAGCCACGGCUAACUUCGUGCCAGCAGCCGCGGU